UACGUAGGGUGCAAGCGUUGUCCGGAAUUAUUGGGCGUAAAGAGCGUGUAGGCGGUUCGGUAAGUCUGUCGUGAAAUCCUGAGGCUCAACCUCGGGCGUGCGAUGGAUACUGCCGGGCUAGAGGGUGGUAGAGGCGAGUGGAAUUCCCGGUGUAGCGGUGAAAUGCGCAGAUAUCGGGAGGAACACCAAUGGCGAAGGCAGCUCGCUGGGACGGUACUGACGCUGAGACGCGAAAGCGUGGGGAGCGAACAGG
rnacentral:rRNA from 1 species